AGAGUUUGGAUCCUGGCUCAGAUUGAACGCUGGCGGCAGGCCUAACACAUGCAAGUCGAGCGCGAAAGCCUUUCGGGGUGAGUAGAGCGGCGGACGGGUGAGUAACGCGUAGGAAUCUACCUGGUAGUGGGGGACAACUUGGGGAAACCCAAGCUAAUACCGCAUACGCCCUAAGGGGGAAAGCGGGGGAUCUUCGGACCUCGCGCUAUUGGAUGAGCCUGCGUAGGAUUAGCUUGUUGGUGAGGUAAAGGCUCACCAAGGCGACGAUCCUUAGCUGGUCUGAGAGGAUGAUCAGCCACACUGGAACUGAGACACGGUCCAGACUCCUACGGGAGGCAGCAGUGGGGAAUAUUGCGCAAUGGGGGCAACCCUGACGCAGCCAUGCCGCGUGUGUGAAGAAGGCCUUAGGGUUGUAAAGCACUUUCAAUUGGGAAGAAAAGCUGCAGGUUAAUAGCCUGUAGCCCUGACAUUACCAUUAGAAGAAGCACCGGCUAACUCCGUGCCAGCAGCCGCGGUAAUACGGAGGGUGCGAGCGUUAAUCGGAAUUACUGGGCGUAAAGCGCGCGUAGGCGGUUUGUUAAGUCAGCUGUGAAAGCCCUGGGCUCAACCUGGGAACUGCAGUUGAUACUGGCCGACUAGAGUACGAGAGAGGGAGGUAGAAUUCCAUGUGUAGCGGUGAAAUGCGUAGAUAUAUGGAGG
rnacentral:rRNA from 1 species